GAUGAACGCUGACAGAAUGCUUAACACAUGCAAGUCAACUUGAACUUCGGUUUGGGUGGCGUACGGGUGAGUAACGCGUACAGAACUUGCCUCACAGCUAGGGACAACAUUUGGAAACGAAUGCUAAUACCUGAUAUUAUGAUUAUAUGGCAUCGUAUAAUUAUGAAAGCUAUAUGCGCUGUGAGAGAGCUUUGCGUCGCAUUAGCUAGUUGGAGAGGCAACAGCUCACGAAGGCGAUGAUGCGUAGCUGGCCUGAGAGGAUGAUCAGCCACACUGGGAGUGUGACACGCCACAGACUCCUAGGGGAAGCAGCAGUACGCAAUCGGGGACAAUGGGUGGGAAAUUGUGGACGAGGGACCGAGAGGCUGAUGAAGCAAUUCUGUGUGCAAGAUGAAGUUUUUCGGAAUGAAAAGUGGUUUCAGUUGAGAAGAAAAAAAUGACGGUACCAACAGAAGAAGUGACGGCUAAAUACGUG
rnacentral:rRNA from 1 species